CACAGAGUGAGGGAGAAAGUGAGUGGGAGAGGUACGGCAGAGCGAUGGGGACCGAACGAAUCGAUGGCUCUGCUCCAGUGAGUGACUCAGCAAGUGCGUCCGAGGCUGGAGCACAAACUUCUUUAUGCCAUUUCAAAUGUCGAGUGUGCUCAGAUUACGCCUUCGAUGGAUAUCACAUAUUCUGACAGGACCACCACCAUGGAUCUAUGAUCUAUCUAGCAAUCAACCACUAGUUUCCAAUCCAAUGUGCAUAUGCGAAAUUGUGAAGAAAUUUAGCUCUAUUUCAGGCAAGGUCUUCUUGUGCGUGCGUGUAAAUUGUGAUUGUUUCGUCAUCAAUACAUUACAGAGUGUCAAGAAAAA